AGCGUACACGGUGGAUGCCCUGGCAGUCAGAGGCGAUGAAGGACGUGCUAAUCUGCGAAAAGCGCCGGCGAGGUGAUAUGAACCCUUGACCCGGCGAUGUCCGAAUGGGGAAACCCAGUGCAAUCCGUUGCACUAUCGUUAACUGAAUACAUAGGUUAACGAGGCGAACCGGGGGAACUGAAACAUCUAAGUACCCCGAGGAAAAGAAAUCAACCGAGAUUCCCCCAGUAGCGGCGAGCGAACGGGGAGCAGCCCGGAGUCUGAAUCAGCUUGUGUGUUAGUGGAACGGUCUGGAAAGUCCGACGGUACAGGGUGAUAGUCCCGUACACGAAAGCACACAUGCUGUGAACUCGAAGAGUAGGGCGGGACACGUGGUAUCCUGUCUGAAUAUGGGGGGACCAUCCUCCAAGGCUAAAUACUCCUGACUGACCGAUAGUGAACCAGUACCGUGAGGGAAAGGCGAAAAGAACCCCGGCGAGGGGAGUGAAAAAGAACCUGAAACCGUGUACGUACAAGCAGUGGGAGCCUCUUUAUGGGGUGACUGCGUACCUUUUGUAUAAUGGGUCAGCGACUUAUAUUCUGUAGCAAGGUUAACCGUAUAGGGGAGCCGAAGGGAAACCGAGUCUUAACUGGGCGUUAAGUUGCAGGGUAUAGACCCGAAACCCGGUGAUCUAGCCAUGGGCAGGUUGAAGGUUGGGUAACACUAACUGGAGGACCGAACCGACUAAUGUUGAAAAAUUAGCGGAUGACCUGUGGCUGGGGGUGAAAGGCCAAUCAAACCGGGAGAUAGCUGGUUCUCCCCGAAAGCUAUUUAGGUAGCGCCUCGUGAACUCAUCUUCGGGGGUAGAGCACUGUUUCGGCUAGGGGGCCAUCCCGGCUUACCAACCCGAUGCAAACUACGAAUACCGAAGAAUGUUAUCACGGGAGACACACGGCGGGUGCUAACGUCCGUCGUGAAGAGGGAAACAACCCAGACCGCCAGCUAAGGUCCCAAAGUCAUGGUUAAGUGGGAAACGAUGUGGGAAGGCACAGACAGCCAGGAUGUUGGCUUAGAAGCAGCCAUCAUUUAAAGAAAGCGUAAUAGCUCACUGGUCGAGUCGGCCUGCGCGGAAGAUGUAACGGGGCUAAACCAUGCACCGAAGCUGCGGCAGCGACGCUUAUGCGUUGUUGGGUAGGGGAGCGUUCUGUAAGCCGUUGAAGGUGUGCUGUGAGGCAUGCUGGAGGUAUCAGAAGUGCGAAUGCUGACAUAAGUAACGAUAAAGCGGGUGAAAAGCCCGCUCGCCGGAAGACCAAGGGUUCCUGUCCAACGUUAAUCGGGGCAGGGUGAGUCGACCCCUAAGGCGAGGCCGAAAGGCGUAGUCGAUGGGAAACAGGUUAAUAUUCCUGUACUUGGUGUUACUGCGAAGGGGGGACGGAGAAGGCUAUGUCAGCCGGGCGACGGUUGUCCCGGUUUAAGCAUGUAGGCGGAGGUUCCAGGUAAAUCCGGUACCUUAUUAACGCUGAGGUGUGAUGACGAGGCACUACGGUGCUGAAGUGAUAAAUGCCCUGCUUCCAGGAAAAGCCUCUAAGCAUCAGGUAACACGAAAUCGUACCCCAAACCGACACAGGUGGUCAGGUAGAGAAUACCAAGGCGCUUGAGAGAACUCGGGUGAAGGAACUAGGCAAAAUGGUGCCGUAACUUCGGGAGAAGGCACGCUGAUGUGUAGGUGAAGCCCCUGCGGGUGGAGCUGAAAUCAGUCGAAGAUACCAGCUGGCUGCAACUGUUUAUUAAAAACACAGCACUGUGCAAACACGAAAGUGGACGUAUACGGUGUGACGCCUGCCCGGUGCCGGAAGGUUAAUUGAUGGGGUUAGCGGCAACGCGAAGCUCUUGAUCGAAGCCCCGGUAAACGGCGGCCGUAACUAUAACGGUCCUAAGGUAGCGAAAUUCCUUGUCGGGUAAGUUCCGACCUGCACGAAUGGCGUAAUGAUGGCCAGGCUGUCUCCACCCGAGACUCAGUGAAAUUGAACUCGCUGUGAAGAUGCAGUGUACCCGCGGCAAGACGGAAAGACCCCGUGAACCUUUACUAUAGCUUGACACUGAACACUGGUCCUUGAUGUGUAGGAUAGGUGGGAGGCUUUGAAGCGUGGACGCCAGUCUGCGUGGAGCCAACCUUGAAAUACCACCCUUUAAUGGCUGGUGUUCUAACGUAGACCCGUAAUCCGGGUUGCGGACAGUGUCUGGUGGGUAGUUUGACUGGGGCGGUCUCCUCCCAAAGAGUAACGGAGGAGCACGAAGGUUGGCUAAUCCUGGUCGGACAUCAGGAGGUUAGUGCAAUGGCAUAAGCCAGCUUGACUGCGAGCGUGACGGCGCGAGCAGGUGCGAAAGCAGGUCAUAGUGAUCCGGUGGUUCUGAAUGGAAGGGCCAUCGCUCAACGGAUAAAAGGUACUCCGGGGAUAACAGGCUGAUACCGCCCAAGAGUUCAUAUCGACGGCGGUGUUUGGCACCUCGAUGUCGGCUCAUCACAUCCUGGGGCUGAAGUAGGUCCCAAGGGUAUGGCUGUUCGCCAUUUAAAGUGGUACGCGAGCUGGGUUUAGAACGUCGUGAGACAGUUCGGUCCCUAUCUGCCGUGGGCGCUGGAGAAUUGAGGGGGGCUGCUCCUAGUACGAGAGGACCGGAGUGGACGCAUCACUGGUGUUCGGGUUGUCAUGCCAAUGGCACUGCCCGGUAGCUAAAUGCGGAAGAGAUAAGUGCUGAAAGCAUCUAAGCACGAAACUUGCCCCGAGAUGAGUUCU
rnacentral:rRNA from 1 species